rfam:Beta vulgaris subsp. vulgaris Bvchr6.sca027.con0017.1, whole genome shotgun sequence.
GCCUCUUCGAAGACAUCUGAUAAAAUUGGAACGAUACAUAGAAGGUUAGCAUGGCCCGUGCGCAAGGAUGACACGCACAAAUGAGAAGUGGUCCAAAUUUUU